UACAGAGGGGGCAAGCGUUGUUCGGAAUUACUGGGCGUAAAGGGCGCGUAGGCGGCCGCCUAAGUCAGACGUGAAAUCCCUCGGCUCAACCGGGGAACUGCGUCUGAUACUGGGUGGCUUGAAUCCGGGAGAGGGAUGCGGAAUUCCAGGUGUAGCGGUGAAAUGCGUAGAUAUCAGGAGGAACACCGGUGGCGAAGGCGGCUCUCUGGACCACAACUGACGCUGAGGCGCGAAAGCUAGGGGAGCAAACAGG
rnacentral:rRNA from 1 species